rnacentral:rRNA from 1 species
UCUGGCACCUUCGGUGUCCGAGUUGUAAUUUGAAGAAGGUAACUUUGGAGUUGGCUCUUGUCUAUGUUCCUUGGAACAGGACGUCACAGAGGGUGAGAAUCCCGUGCGAUGAGAUGUCCAACUCUAUGUAAAGUGCUUUCGAAGAGUCGAGUUGUUUGGGAAUGCAGCUCUAAGUGGGUGGUAAAUUCCAUCUAAAGCUAAAUAUUGGCGAGAGACCGAUAGCGAACAAGUACAGUGAUGGAAAGAUGAAAAGAACUUUGAAAAGAGAGUGAAAAAGUACGUGAAAUUGUUGAAAGGGAAGGGUUUGAGAUCAGACUUGGUAUUUUGUAUGUCUUGCUUUCGGGUGGGGCCUCUGCAGUUUACUGGGCCAGCAUCGGUUUGGACGGUAGGAUAAUGACAUUGGAAUGUGGCACUACUUCGGUGGUGUGUUAUAGACUUUGUUGAUACUGCCUGUCUAGACCGAGGACUGCGUCUUUGACUAGGAUGCUGGCAUAAUGAUCCUAAA